GACAGAGGGUGCAAACGUUGUUCGGAAUUACUGGGCGUAAAGCGCACGUAGGCGGAUACUUAAGUCAGGGGUGAAAUCCCGAGGCUCAACCUCGGAACUGCCUUUGAUACUGGGUAUCUCGAGUCCGGAAGAGGUGAGUGGAACUCCGAGUGUAGAGGUGAAAUUCGUAGAUAUUCGGAGGAACACCAGUGGCGAAGGCGGCUCACUGGUCCGGUACUGACGCUGAGGUGCGAAAGCGUGGGGAGCAAACAGG
rnacentral:rRNA from 1 species